rnacentral:rRNA from 1 species
GAUGAACGCUGGCGGCGUGCCUAAUACAUGCAAGUAGAACGCUGAAGGAAGGAGCUUGCUCUUUCCGGAUGAGUUGCGAACGGGUGAGUAACGCGUAGGUAACCUGCCUGGUAGCGGGGGAUAACUAUUGGAAACGAUAGCUAAUACCGCAUAACAGUAGAUGUUGCAUGAUAUCUACUUAAAAGGUGCAAUUGCACCACUACCAGAUGGACCUGCGUUGUAUUAGCUAGUUGGUGAGGUAACGGCUCACCAAGGCGACGAUACAUAGCCGACCUGAGAGGGGGAUCGGCCACACUGGGACUGAGACACGGCCCAGACUCCUACGGGAGGCAGCAGUAGGGAAUCUUCGGCAAUGGACGGAAGUCUGACCGGGCAACGCCGCGUGAGUGAAGAAGGUUUUCGGAUCGUAAAGCUCUGGUGUAAGAGAAGAACGAGUGUGAGAGUGGAAAGUUCACACUGUGACGGUAGCUUACCAGAAAGGGACGGCUAACUACGUG